AGUGAACGCUGGCGGUAGGCCUAACACAUGCAAGUCGAACGGCAGCACAGUAAGAGCUUGCUCUUACGGGUGGCGAGUGGCGGACGGGUGAGGAAUACAUCGGAAUCUACUUUUUCGUGGGGGAUAAUGUAGGGAAACUUACGCUAAUACCGCAUACGACCUACGGGUGAAAGCAGGGGAUCUUCGGACCUUGCGCGAUUGAAUGAGCCGAUGUCGGAUUAGCUAGUUGGCGGGGUAAAGGCCCACCAAGGCGACGAUCCGUAGCUGGUCUGGGAGAAUGAUCAGCCACACUGGAACUGAGACACGGCCCAGACUCCUACGGGAGGCGGCAGUGGGGAAUAUUGGACAAGGGGCGCAAGCCUGAUCCAGCCAUACCGCGGGGGUGAAGAAGGCCUUCGGGUUGUAAAGCCCUUUUGUUGGGAAAGAAAAGCAGCAGGUUAAUACCCCGCUGUUCUGACGGUACCCAAAGAAUAAGCACCGGCUAACUUCGUG
rnacentral:rRNA from 1 species